CCAGGUAGCUGUUGGUGACUUGGGGCCUAAGGAGGGGGGUACAGCGUCAGGCCGGCAACGGAGCAGCGAAAACCUUCCGCAGUGGUCAGUGAGGGGAACACGCGGCUGAGUGGCAACCU
rnacentral:SRP_RNA from 16 species